AUUCUACUCCCUCCGUCCCGAAUUACUUGUCUUAGAUUUGUCUAGAUACAGAUGUAUCUAGACAUGUUUUAGUGUUAGAUACAUCCGUAUCUAGACAAAUUUAAGACAAGUAAUUUGGGAUGGAGGUAAUAUAUU
rfam:Triticum urartu cultivar G1812 contig443572, whole genome shotgun sequence.